rnacentral:rRNA from 1 species
GGACCCGCACAAGCAGUGGAGCAUGUGGUUUAAUUCGAAGAUACGCGCAGAACCUUACCAACUCUUGACAUGUUCGUCGCGACUCUAAGAGAUUAGAGUCUUCGGUUCGGCCGGACGAAACACAGGUGCUGCAUGGCUGUCGUCAGCUCGUGUCGUGAGAUGUUGGGUUAAGUCCCGCAACGAGCGCAACCCUUACUUUUAGUUGCUACCAUUUAGUUGGGCACUCUAAAAGAACUGCCAGUGAUAAGCUGGAGGAAGGUGGGGAUGACGUCAAGUCCUCAUGGCCCUUACGAGUUGGGCUACACACGUGCUACAAUGGUACUUACAAUGAGAUGCAAAGAGGCGACUCUAAGCC